rnacentral:rRNA from 1 species
UACGGAGGAUGCAAGCGUUAUCCGGAAUGAUUGGGCGUAAAGCGUCCGCAGGUGGCAGUUCAAGUCUGCUGUCAAAGACCGGGGCUUAACUUCGGAAAGGCAGUGGAAACUGAACAGCUAGAGUAUGGUAGGGGCAGAGGGAAUUCCUGGUGUAGCGGUGAAAUGCGCAGAUAUCAGGAGGAACACCGGUGGCGAAGGCGGGUCUCUGGGCAGUAACUGACGCUGAGGAGCGAAAGCGUGGGGAGCGAACAGG